rnacentral:rRNA from 1 species
UGAGCAAUCUGCCCUUCUCAUCGGAAUAAGCGUUGGAAACGACGUCUAAUGCCGAAUACGACCUCCUUUCGCAUGAUCGGAGGUGGAAAGCUCCGGCGGAGAAGGAUGAGCUCGCGGCCUAUCAGCUAGUUGGUGUGGGUAAUGGCCCACAAGGCGACGACGGGUAGCCGGCCUGGAGAGGGUGACCGGCCACACGUGGGACUGAGACACGGCCCAGACCUCCGUACGGGAGCAG